rnacentral:rRNA from 1 species
UACAGAGGGUGCAAGCGUUAAUCGGAUUUACUGGGCGUAAAGCGUGAGUAGGUGGCUCGCUAAGUCGGUUGUGAAAUCCCUGGGCUCAACCUGGGAAUUGCAGUCGAUACUGGCAAGCUAGAGUUCGGUAGAGGGUGGCGGAAUUCCCGGUGUAGCGGUGAAAUGCGUAGAUAUCGGGAGGAACAUCGAUGGCGAAGGCAACCACCUGGGCCUGAACUGACACUGAGACACGAAAGCGUGGGUAGCAAACAGGG